UACGAAGGGAGCGAGCGUUGUUCGGAAUCACUGGGCUUAAAGCGUGCGUAGGCUGACAGGAAAGUCAGAAGUGAAAGCCCCGGGCUUAACCCGGGAACUGCUUUUGAAACUUCCCGUCUAGAACCCGAGAGAGGUUAGCGGAGUAUCCAGUGUAGAGGUGAAAUUCGCAGAUAUUGGAUGGAACACCAGUGGCGAAGGUGGCUAACUGGCUCGGUACUGACGAUGAGGCCCGAACGCGUGGGUAGCAAACAGG
rnacentral:rRNA from 1 species